GCGUAAAGGCCUCGUAGGUGGUGUGUCGCGUCGUCUGUGUAAUCCAGGGGCUUAACUUUUGGGUUGGCUGGCGAUACGGGCAUUGCUUGAGUGCUGUAGGGGAGACUGGAAUUCCUGGUGUAGCGGUGAAAUGCGCAGAUAUCAGGAGGAACACCGAUGGCGAAGGCAGGUCUCUGGGCAGUUACUGACGCUGAGGAGCGAGAGCAUGGGUAGCGAACAGGAUUAGAUACCCUGGUAGUCUAUGCUGUAAACGGUGGGCGCUAGGUGUGAGUCCCUUCCACGGGGUUUGUGCCGUAGCUAACGCUUUAAGCGCCCCGCCUGGGGAGUACGGCCGCAAGGCUAAAAUUCAAAGGAAUUGACGGGGGCCCGCACAAGCGGCGGAGCAUGUGGAUUAAUUCGAUGCAACGCGAAGAACCUUACCUGGGCUUGACAUAUGUGGGAUUGCGGCAGAGAUGUUGUUUCCCUUGUGGCUCACAUACAGGUGGUGCAUGGUUGUCGUCAGCUCGUGUCGUGAGAUGUUGGGUUAAGUCCCGCAACGAGCGCAACCCUUGUCUUAUGUUGCCAGCAUGUUGUGGUGGGGACUCGUGAGAGACUGCCGGGGUUAACUCGGAGGAAGGUGGGGAUGACGUCAAAUCAUCAUGCCCCUUAUGUCCAGGGCUUCACACAUGCUACAAUGGCUGGUACAGUGCGUGUGCGACACUGUGAGGUGGAGCUAAUCGCAAAAGCCAGUCUCAGUUCGGAUUGGGGUCUGCAACUCGACCCUAUGAAGUCGGAGUCGCUAGUAAUCGCAGAUCAGCAGUGCUGCGGUGAAUACGUUCCC
rnacentral:rRNA from 1 species